GGCAGAACCCUCGACCUUCAGGCCCGAAGUCCAGCGAGCUAUCGACUGUGCCCCAAAAGCUGUGCCCCUCCGCGUUUAUAAACCCAGGGUCGUUACAAUAUUAUAGUGUCAAAAUGUAUUACAAAGUGCAAAUAGGAUAAUUAUGGUCAUAAAGUCAGCCUCGUCCAAAACAUAGUUUUGUAAUUGAAUUCGUCACGAUUUACUGGAUGGUUGGGUAUGGAUUAUGAUCAUGCCCACUUUUGCCAAUUAUGCCAAAUUGCAGGGAAAACACGUUGUAGUCCGCAUCCAGCUGACAUGUGUUGUCAAGGCUGCAUAUGGGUGGAACGCACAUUUCGCUCUGCAAUUAUGAGUGAAAAUGGGCUUCCAUGAAGUUGGUGCAAACUUCCAAUACAUUUCAACAAUAUUGCCAGGAGUGGAUUACAUUCGACACGGUCACUUCUGCUGCCUGUCAACCGUCAAACCACUGCACUGGUGUUGGCUACGUACAAGAUCUGGUUGAUUUGUAGUUCAGCAAUGUUGUUGGAACCCCCCUGCCAUAUCAGGAGCUGUUACAGAAGGCUGAGGCAGUGGCCAUACACCAGUCCUGCUUGAGAGUAAUGGAGGACACUUGAAUCAGUGCUCUGUGUAUAUGUGUGUCUUGUACUGUACGUUGUAAGAAAGCUGCCCCCUUCCAAUGGACUAUUGGGCCCAGAGAGCUGGGUCGGAUAUAGGAGCCGUAGUCGGGCUUCUGCAUGACCAGUAUCUGUGAUGAGAGGGACCUGGAGCUGAUCUACGCUGCCAUGCCAAUCAGGCGUUGGCAAACGCCUCAAAAGGGACAAACAGUGAUUACUAAUAAGACAGUACAUCAUUAUCACCCUUUCAAUGUGUCACUCAUCAACUCUUCCUUGGUUUUCUACAGAUGGGAAGAAGAGUUGCUUUUCAGAUGGAGUCCUCUGACUGAAAGACAGGUUAAUACUGAUGUCAGAAUUGGGAGAGACCUUGCAACUCAGCAUAAAAAUUUUACAAGACAUCUA
ensembl:lncRNA